CAGGACUGGACCUCCAUAAAUGGGAUCCUUGUGAAUCUGGUAUCUUUGAAGAAGUAGACUGGAUGAGCCAAUUUAGGUGCCAGUGCCAAGAGAUGGGUCAUAACUCAAAAGGUAAAGACACAUUUGCCAAGAUCACUGGGAGAAGAGGUUGAAAAUUUACCCUCUCCCUACCAGCAUGUGCAUAUGUCCAUGAGAGAUGGCACUCUGCUUGGUAAAACUGGGGAAUACGUAUAGGAAGAAAGCUAAAGAAAUUACAAUAGAAUAGCUAUUUGGGAUUUGGGACACUGGUGCUGAAGAUAUACUCUUAUUAGAGUAAAAUGAGGAAGAGCACAUUAGUCACCACAUACUCUACAUUACAACAAUGUAUAUAUGUAGCUGUAAAUGUGGAAAAUGAGGACACUGCCAUCUCUUUAUUGUCCUGGCUGAUAGCUUCCUUAAAUUAUGAUUGGCACAAUAUGUUGAAGUCAUCCAUGGUACCCUGUGUUGGAAGUCCAUGGGAGAACUCCAAGACCUUCUGAGGGAGUUACGGUGCUGCAGGCCCUUAAUGCAGCAAUCUGCACUGGUCCUAAUAAUGAACCAUUCACAGGAGAACUGAAGGACCAUUCUCCAAGCAUUUAUGAGGCAGUAUCAUGGAAGCCUGGGAUCAUUCCUGAUCUGUUAAUUGGCAUUUGAUUUUUCUCAAGCCACACAGGUUAUGGCUGUAUGAGAUAAACUAAAAAGAUGAGAAAGUGAGGUUACAGAGAAUAUAUCUUAGAAGGGGGAGAACUAAAGGGGAAAGAAAAUACCAGAGGUCAAAUGAGGAAAAGCAAGGACAAUAUGCCUUUGUGUUGGGAGGGCAACAAUGGUCUUUGUUCUUUCACAAGGAUAUUUGCCUAGUCUACCCUAUGUUAUGGGAUGGUGUUGGCACCUUUGAGCUGGACAUAACCUGAAUAACUACCAAUGUUUUAUUAUUGUAUUGAUGAUGUGGUUUUAACAUCUGUGUCUUUACUUCACCUGAGCUGAGACUGCAGCUCAAAGAGUGUUGGCAACCUCCAAGAUGGACGAUGGGGUGUAAACUCCUCCAAGUUGCAAAGACCUGGGGUGUCUCUCAGGUGCUCAGGGGUUAUUUGGUUGUGUCCUGCUGUUGCUCAUAAAAAGAAAAUUUUUCCCAAUUCCCAGACACAGACCUUUCUGGAUGUUGAGAUGUUUUCAUCACUGUACUCCAUAAUUUAGGAUUAAUGUUAAAGAGUUUGUAUGUUUUAGUAAAAGGUUGGCCUGGUGGGACUGGAAAUUGGAACAUCUCAAGUACGUCUCUGAACAAAAGUCAUUGUAGAGGAAUUACAAGCCUUGGGUAUAUUAGCCCAAGCACACACCUAUAAAUAUAUUUCCCUGCCCUGAUGGGUUGAAUGGGUCCUUAGGAAAUAUCAGGGCAAUAAAUGAGUUCAACUCUGACAUCCUUGGAAGAGGCAAAGAUAAUGAAAGACAUUUGGGAUCAAUCACCACAUUGGAACAGACUGUGCUUUCCUUUGGGAAGAGCAACAAUGGACUUUGUUCUUCCACAUGGUAUUUACAUAGCUUGAUAAUAGGUUAUGGGAUGGCGGACAAAACCAUAGGAGCUGCCAGAGGGAACCAAUUGAGUCUAUUGGCCAUGGGAAUGGCAAAAGGGCCUCAAUGAAGUGGGUUGCUAGUCCAUGGGCAAAAAGACUAGACCAAGACAUACAAAUAGGAAAAAAAACAAACAAACCUACCAGUAGAGAAUUUUUCAUCACUGCGUGAGUUUCUCAUUUCAUUAUGGUCUAUAACUUCAUUGUUGUCAUACUUUUCUUUGCACAAGGACAUCUUGAACAAGAAAUAUGGUAUUGUAAAUGUGGUGAUGGGACACAGGCUGGUACUAUUCUCACUUGGAUUGAUCAGGUUGCUUAUGUGUUGCUGAAUAAUCCAAUUUCACUCCUGUUGCAUAUUACACUUAGAGCUAAGGUAUUUAUAUAACAGACAAAUAUCAUAAUAGAUGUGCAGAAUAAAAUGAUUCCUGGUUGUACAUUGAGGUGCCUCUGUCCUCCUCUUCUCAUCUCCUGUGGCAUCUUCAGUCAGCCACAUUAGUGUAGAGGGAGCAAAUGUGAAAACUGGAGCCACAGCUGCAGCUCAUGGACACAGCUGGAUAACUUCCCUAUGGAAUUGAACAUAAAUGUAUCUUCCUUUAAGGAAACCAAAUAGCAUGACUUCCAUUAUAUGUGGAAAUAAAUAAUUAUGACAAAGCAAAAAAAAAAAAAAAAAGGAUCAUGUUUGAUUUGUCCCAACUCCCCAUAGCCUGUGAUUUCUGCAGAAUCUCAGUGUCAGUCAGAACCUGCUUUUUGGAGUGAACCAAUGUGCUCAAUUCUGGGGUCAUCACUUUCUGGCAAUGUGACCACAGCUAGUUGCAUAAUCUCCUUAAGUUUCAAGUUUAUUCUCUGUUAAAUGGUGACAUUAGUAGUGUUUGUCUCUAAGGAUCAAAUGUUAUAAGACAUAAAGUGUUUAAUUUUCAUUAAAAAUCAUAAUUGCUAUUCUGCAAGAGAUACUGAUUUAACAUUCAUUUUGGAAUAGACAUGGUUCUCAUGACUAGAAGCAAAAAUGUGUGCAGGACUCCCAGCUUUGUGAAGCUUAUGUUCCAAUGGGGAAACAGACCAAAUAUAGUGCAGAGGCCAAUGAUUACAAGUCUUAAUAAAUGCCCAAGGAAAGUAUCUGUCCAUUAGAGUAGAAUAAUCAUGGAAGGCAUCUCUGAGAAGGUGACAUUUAAACAAUGAAAAAUGAAGAGUCUCGUGUGGGAGAGGGAGCAUUUGUAUGAGAGUCUGGGAAGAGCUUUGUCUUAUUUGCAGAAUCCAUGGGAACAAAGCCAGCAGUGUGUCACCAGAGAGGCAGGAAAUGAGCCCAGGUGACAGGAAAAGCCAGAUCCUAAUGUUACAGACCAGGGUUAGAAAUGUGGAUUUUGUUCCAAGUGCAGUAGGAAAUCAUUACUGGGCUUUGACAUAGACAAGUGAUCUCAAUGUGGGUUCUAAGUAUUCGUUGAAUGCUGCAUGGAUUCUAAAUGGGCAGGAGCGGAGGGUACAUGGUUGGAAGGCUGUUGUUCCAGGAAAAGCAAGAUCGGUGGUGGUUGAAGG
rnacentral:lncRNA from 1 species